rnacentral:rRNA from 1 species
CGUGAGGAACCUGCCUUCCAGAGGGGGACAACAGUUGGAAACGACUGCUAAUACCGCAUGAUGCAUUUGAAUCGCAUGGUUUGAAUGCCAAAGAUUUAUCGCUGGAAGAUGGCCUCGCGUCUGAUUAGCUAGUUGGUGAGGUAACGGCCCACCAAGGCGACGAUCAGUAGCCGGACUGAGAGGUUGGCCGGCCACAUUGGGACUGAGAUACGGCCCAGACUCCUACGGAAGGCAGCAG